UGCCGAAUUAUCAGGAAUUCUUUUCUCUUCUUCCAACCACGGAACUUCUUCUGGAUUUGCAUAGCUGCAGCAUCUAGUCCAUCAGAAUGUAUAGGCUUGUGUGUAUUGGCAGCUAUAACUGCAAGACCACGCCCAUCAAAAAUAUUGAAUUCAUCAUCCCCAUACUCAGUUAACUGUUUCCGCUGGAAUGACUGCAUCCUGAAUACUUGAUGUAUACGAUUAGCUGCUUGUGUAGCAUUACGGAUGGCAGUCAGUGAAUCCUUCAAUGACAGCACAUUUGACACAUCACUUUCAUUCGCAGGGGUAGCCAUCCGUUCUGCAAUUGUUUGCACAGCUGUCGUUGCUGAGAUGUCUGGUGAACCACCUUCCGUUGAAUCACUUAGCAUAAGCAAUUGUAGGUAGCUUGUCAAAGACGACUCUGCAAGGAAACCAGAGAUUCCUUUGUGUCCAUUGCCAGAAGCAAGGUCUGCUGGAGUUCUACCCAAAGGAAAUUCUGGAGACGGAUCUGUCAAUACCCGAGUAUCCGCACACAAAGAGACAAGGGCAGCAACUGUCUGCUCUCUGCCAUAGAAUGCAGCCCAAUGGAGAGCUGUCCAUCCAUUCGUCACAUCACGGAAAUUGAUACUAACUCCUGCAGUCAAGAUAGCUUUUAUAG
rnacentral:misc_RNA from 1 species